rnacentral:tRNA from 1 species
GGGGAUGUAGCUCAGCAGGUUAGAGCGCUGUGUUCACAUCGCAGAGGUCCACGGUUCGAGCCCGUGCAUCCCCACCA